AUACGUAGGUGGCAAGCAUUGUCCGGAAUUAUUGGGCGUAAAGCGCGCGCAGGUGGUUCCUUAAGUCUGAUGUGAAAGCCCCCGGCUCAACCGGGGAGGGUCAUUGGAAACUGGGGAACUUGAGUGCAGAAGAGGAUAGUGGAAUUCCAAGUGUAGCGGUGAAAUGCGUAGAGAUUUGGAGGAACACCAGUGGCGAAGGCGACUUUCUGGUCUGUAACUGACACUGAGGUGCGAAAGCGUGGGGAGCAAACAGGAUUGGAUACCCUGGUAGUCCACGCCGUAAACGAUGAGUGCUAAGUGUUGGGGGGUUUCCGCCCCUCAGUGCUGCAGCUAACGCAUUAAGCACUCCGCCUGGGGAGUACGGUCGCAAGACUGAAACUCAAAUGAAUUGACGGGG
rnacentral:rRNA from 1 species